UUGAGCUCUUCAGCCUCAUCAUCCUCAGAGGGCAGCUUCUUCCUGCAAAGACACAGAUGUGGAAGGGGCCUUCAGCAAAGGCAGAGGCCCCAGGGAGAAGUGUCAUGACUUUGAUCCCUAAAGAUCAUCUAGAGCCAAUUCCUAGAUAGAGGAUGGGGGGCGGAGCAUGAACUUCUGAGUCCUCAUUUGCCUGGAGGGAGGGAAAACGGCAGAAGAGAGGGGCAUAGCCACUCUCUAGACCUCAGUCUUCCCAUCUGUUAAAUGGCUUGGCCUAAAGGUAACAGCAUUGGUAUUGCACCCCAGUCCUGCCUCUUACCUGUGUGUGGCCUCAGCAAAUUACCAAAACAUGCUGAGUUACCUCAGUUUCCCCCUCUGUAAAAUGGGAUUAAAUCUACUCAAGUAAAUGAGAUACUUAUCACUUAGUUCUCAGUUUCAACUUCCUUCCCCUCUCCUGCUCCCUGUCUAAAGUCACCCACCUCAUUCCCCUCUACUCUCUAUCACACCACCUUUUCAGCUAUCAGAGAAGCCAUGGAAUCCAGUCUCCGCCUUACGGUGUGACCUUAGUUCUGCUCCUGCCAUGUGAGAGCCUGUUUCUUUUGCCUUCCACCAUGAGUACAAGCUCCCUGAGGCCUCCCCAGAAGUAGAUGCUGCCAUGCUGCCUGUACAGUCUGUGGAACAAUGACCCAAUUAAACCUCUUUUCUUUAUU
rnacentral:lncRNA from 1 species